UGGUUACUUGGGCAUGGAAAGUUGGGGUUUUCCUUUUGAUUUAGUUCUAGGAAGCCAGCAUGAAUCAGCCUUAGGUUCCCCACCUCCAGACCCUAUUCUCCUGCCUCAGCCAUGGUUUAAACCAAACAUGCAGCGUAUUGUCUGCCUACCUCAAGGAAGGCCGUCCAAAGGCUCUCUGGGCGGCUGCAGCAUCUCCGUGUUUGGACUUCCCAGUUUCUUUCUUCCCUUCUCCCUCACCAGCCAACCUUGGUGCUUACUUUCCAUCCUCAUGACAAACUCCUAGCACGACAGGGUAGCCAGUACUCUAGCGAUUACUCCCAACCUUCCAGGCAGUCAGACGCAGAAGAGCUGGAGGACAAAGGAAACACCCGCUGCCCCUGCUCCUCUCAUCCUUCUAGGCAGCUCUCCCGGCAUCACCUGGACGUUGCUUUCAUCGGAUGCUGCUGUGAGGAAAGGAGGGGGUCGCCCUUAGCUGUUCACAGCUGGAUCUGUUGGUUCUGGUGCUCUGUGGCCAGAACCUUUGAACCUUCUCAUAGGACUUGCAGUAAAACUUGCUUACGAAGAACUGCACAUGAGGGAAGAGCUGAGCUGAGAACGAGGAUGCAGGAUCCAUUCAGUCACCUGCUUGAUGUUCCCAGAGAAAGAUCCUGAAGUGCAGCAAGGCACCGUCGGAAGACCCAGGAAGACAUCUUGGGGAAAGUGAAUAAAAGAGAUUCUUGCCAAUGGCUGUGGAUGUCGAAGUCCUCAGGGAAGUGGCGAGGCCGGAGUCCAGCAAAGGACAUCCAGGAGCCACCCCUGGCAGGAUGCUGAGCCCCGAGCCAGGGGCUGCCAGCCGAGUCCCUCCACGGGCAUCUCUGAUGCCAACAGCAGAUCUGUUUGGGGUUCAGUGUGAUCCUCUUGGAACUGAGAACAGAGUGUCCCUCCUCCCACCCUCCCUGGGCAGUGGUGGCAGCCAUGCUCUGGAGGGGAGGGGUCGCAGUGCCACCUUCUUGCUGGACCAAAUCGGCCAUCACACAGCAUGAAUGUGUGACAGAGACAGACAGAGACAGGGAUGGAGAGACAAGACAGAGUGGGAGAGACACCACCCCACAGGAGCCAGGGUGGCCGGAUGCCUCUGGGAGUAAAGGCACAAAGCCUAGGAAAGAAGAAGGGAAGCUGGGGCCGGCAUCGGGCUAGAAUGUUCUGUGGGCAGCUCACUCCCUGGGCCAUGUUUCCAGCUCCCUUCCAGCUGCUGCUGAGAAUUUCGGAAGGAUGGUAAAGGGCCUGUGCUCGGGAGGCCAUACUGGCAGGAGGCGGGAAGGAACGGGACCGUGGUCAGGGGCCCCUCAGCCUCCAUCGCCCUCAGAUGGGGCAGGUGCACGGGCUGGGGUUCCCCUGUGGGGGUCCAGGAAGGCCUAUGUGUGCCCUGCUGGCCCUGCUGCGGCCCCUGGAAGGACAGGCUGGGUGGGGGAGGGAGGCUGGCAGGCAGUGGGGACCAGGGCCAGUAGCUGCACACUUUGACCUCUUGCUGAAUCCUCACAGGGCAGGGACCCCAAGAGCCCCUGUUCUGAGAGCCCUGCCCCAGCAUCAGCCACGUGGGCUGGGUUUUCAUGGGGGACGGUGGGCUUAGAAAUUCUGAGGCUUGGCCCCAGGGUCAGCGAUGAAACACUCCUAAUCCCAUGGAAAAGAAGGAAUCUCGAAGUGGAAAUCCCAGGUGGGGCUGCCUCCCGCCAAAGCAAGACUUCCACACCCCGCAGAAGGGGUGCACACGGGCCUGCCUCCCAGCAGGAGAGGCUGGGGUGGGAGUGACUGAAGGCCAAGCUGGAGAAGAGACUCCGAGGUGGGGCCACACACACCCCGAAGCAACAAGUGCCCUCCGGAACCUCGGCUCUGUGGCCGCUACACUUUUAUGCAAUGUGUGCGUCUGGGCUCACUUGGGGGAGCAGUCGUAAUUCCCACCACACUCGCAGGAGGAUCUGGGACAGCCCCAGGGCCUUGGCCCUGAUGGUGCCGUCUGCCUCUCAGGACUUGACUGCCCAAGUGCUCCUUGACGGGGACUUCCUGGGGAAUGGACUCUGAUAAAAUGACCCUCGGCUUUCCAAGGAGCUUCCUUCUGCGUGUAAGCAUCGUUGGGAGGCCUGUGAAGGGCGGCUUCCUGAUGGAGAGGGACCCAAAAGAGCUCCAGCCCAUGGCACAUCCGCAAGCGUUUGCCACGGGGGCGGUGACCCUGGUCUGGCCCCUCAUUGCUGCCACCUCCGCCUCCUUGCCUUCUCACGACUCCUGGCGCCCAGGCCCUCCAUCCUGCCGGCUGGCAGCGUUCUGAUUUCUGCGCGCUUAUGAUUAACCUGUACAAUAUGUUCCUCUUAAUGCAGAGAUGUUUUCCUCUCCUCCAAUUCUACAAACUGGAAAACAGCAUAUAGCCCGAGGCCACCCGGAAUAAUGCUGGUGUCAAGCGUUAAAAAACAUAUUUGUUUUGUGUCCUCUAAGGACGAAUGAUAGACAUGUAAAAAUGUUUCCCUGCUUUCCUUUCAGGGAAUACUUAGUUUAGAAUUAACUUCUGUCAGAGAAAACACAAUUUCCCGCACCCACUCUGUAUGACUUCCCACCGUUUCUAUUUUGCAGGGGGAAAUACCACACUGUGUUUGACACGUAUGAUUACAAGUUUACAGAAUCCA